rnacentral:rRNA from 1 species
AGAAUCAACGCUGGCGGCGUGCCUAACACAUGCAAGUCGAACGAGAAAGGGGAGCAAUCCCUGAGUACAGUGGCGCACGGGUGAGUAACACGUGACUAACCUACCCUGGAGUGGGGAAUAACUGAGGGAACCUUAGCUAAUACCGCAUAAUACCUACGGGUCAAAGGAGCAAUUCGCUUCAGGAGGGGUCGCGGCCGAUUAGUUAGUUGGCGGGGUAAUGGCCCACCAAGACGAUGAUCGGUA